rnacentral:rRNA from 1 species
AUUGAACGCUGGCGGCAGGCUUAACACAUGCAAGUCGAGCGAGCGGCGGACGGGUGAGUAAUGUCUGGGAAACUGCCUGAUGGAGGGGGAUAACUACUGGAAACGGUAGCUAAUACCGCAUACCAUCAGAUGUGCCCAGAUGGUAUUAGCUAGUAGGUGGGGUAAUGGCUCACCUAGGCGACGAUCCCUAGCUGGUCUGAGAGGAUGACCCGCCACACGGGAACUGAGACACGGUCCAGACUCCUACGGGAGGCAGCAGUGGGGAAUAUUCGGCAAUGGGCGCAAGCCUGAUGCAGCAAUGCCGCGUGAGUGAAGAAGGCCUUCGGGUUGUAAAGCACUUUCAGCGAGGAGGCGGUACUCGAAGAAGAAGCACCGGCUAACUACGUGCCAGCAGCCGCGGUAAUAC